UACGAAGGGGGCUAGCGUUGCUCGGAAUCACUGGGCGUAAAGCGCACGUAGGCGGCUUGUUAAGUCAGGGGUGAAAUCCUGGAGCUCAACUCCAGAACUGCCUUUGAUACUGGCGACCUUGAGUCCGGGAGAGGUGAGUGGAACUGCGAGUGUAGAGGUGAAAUUCGUAGAUAUUCGCAAGAACACCAGUGGCGAAGGCGGCUCACUGGCCCGGUACUGACGCUGAGGUGCGAAAGCGUGGGGAGCAAACAGGG
rnacentral:rRNA from 1 species